UUUUCCAUAUCUGUUAUCACCUAAUUUUGAUUUUUUUGUUCUGAAAUAGUUGAGGUUUCAUAUAUUUUUUUGAGAAGUUUAGCAAAGGUGCACUUUGUGCAGAUGCACUUGAAACAUCAGCAGAUGAACUCCAGGAAAUAAUGUUGGACAGGGCACUGUUACAGUCAUCCUUUCUACCACUUCCUCUCAAACUGAUAUAAACAGAUGCAUGUUUUUAUGUCCUUUCCCUUGGGAAAGGGAGAACUCUGAGCUCAAGUGAUCAAUAUGUGGCUUUUCCGUGGUUACUUGGGAAACUUCAUCCCUGAAAUCCUUUUUAAUCACAUGUUAUCUCACAUCCUUUGACAGGAUCCAGCUUUUUGUUUUUCAUCUACUGUAAGUUAUAGAAUCUGGCUAAAAGGAACAAAUCUGGAUGAGCUGGUUUAUGCAAAAAUAAAAACAGUGAAAUUGUCAGGAAGAAAAUACUGCUAAAAAGGAGGCAUAGUUUAAAUUUAAGGCAUCAGCUGAGGUCUGUGGCACUGCAGGUUUUCAUGUGGAGUUGCACAGCCAUAGACUUCCGUACAGAGCCCUGCAACAAGUUAGACAAGAGGCACUGAGGCCUCUCCUGCAGGACUCCCAUUCCAGGAGAAGAUUGAUUUGUGCAGGAACUGCCCAAAGAAGUAUCAAAGUCACUGCUUGCUGGCAGUACUUCUCUCCAGAUGUACCAUUUGGCACAUUAAGCAAUUCUUUUCUUAGAAGGGGAACCUAUGGUUUUGUCAUGUAAUGCAAAACACCAAUGGAAUCACUACAUAAGCAAAAUGCCAGUAAUGGUACAGUGGUCCAGCCACAAACAUUGCAAACAACCCAGGGCAAAACAUGGUUGUGAAGGUUUGCAGCUACACUUGGAGCUGGAGAAAGCCAGUGCAGUAGUGCUGUGA
rnacentral:lncRNA from 1 species